GGAUUGUAGCUCAGUGGAAGAGCACACGCUUAGCAUGUAUGAGGCACUGGGUUCAAUUCUCAGCACCG
rnacentral:tRNA from 1 species